AUGCAUGAUUUUCGGGGUAAAAUGGGGGGUUUUCGAAGAGGAAAUGCUUCGUUUCAGGUUAAAUUGGGGGUUUUCGAAGCCAAAAUGCACGAUUUUCACUUAAAUGGGGGAUUUUCCAAACGAAAAUGCAUGAUUUUCUUUUUAGAUGGGGGGAUUUUCAUAGAGAAAAGGCAUGAUUUUUGUGUUAAGUGGGGGAUAUUUGCAAAAAAAAAAAAAAAAAAACAAGGCGUGAUUUUUGGGUUAAAUAGGGGAUUUUUGAAGAGAAAAUGUGUGAUUUUCAGUUAAAUCACGGAAUCUCUAAGAGAAAAUGCCUGAUGUUUGCAUUAAAUGUGUGAUUUUCGUCGAGAUAAUGCGUGAUUUUCAGGUUACAUGGGAGAUUUUUGGAGAGAAAAUGCGUGAUUUUGGUUAAUUGGGUGAUUUCUGCAAAGAAAAUGCAUCAUUCCUGGGUUAAAUUGUGUAUUUUUGCAGAGAAAAUGCUUGAUUUUCAUUUAAAUGAGGGAUUUCUUGCAGAGACAAUGCUUGAUUUUUGUUUAAAUGAGGGAUUUUGGCAGAGAACAUGCGUGAUUUUCGGGUUAAACGGGGAUUUCUGCAAAAAAAAAAAACCAUGAUUCUCAGGUAAAAUUUGGUGUAGUUGAAGAGAAAAAUGCAUGAUUUUCAGGUUAAAUGGGGGAUUUCGGAAGAGAAAAUGCGUGUUGUUUGAGAUAAACGUGGGAUUUUUGUAGAGCGAAUGCAUGAUUUUCGGGUUAAAUGGGGGAUUUUCCAAGGGAAAAUUUGUGAUUUUGGGGUUAAAUGGGGGACUUUCCAAGGGAAAAGGCGUGAUUUUCACGUUAAAUGGGGGAUUUUCCAAGAGAAAAUGUGUAAUUUCCAGGUUAAAUGGGGAUUGUUGAAGAGAAAAUGUGUGAGUUUUGGUUAAAAGGGGGGUUUUCCAGCGAAAAUGCAUGACUUUCUGUUAAACGGAGGAUUUUUGUGGUGAAAAUGCGUGGUGUUCAGGUUAAAGCAGGGAUUUUCGAUGAGAAAAUACAUGAUUUGGGGGUUAAAUGUGCUGUUUGUUUGUUUGUUUGUUUGUUUGUUUGUUUUUAAGAGAAAACUUGUGAUUUUUGAUAAAUUAUGUAUUUUUGAAGUGAAAAUGCGUGAUUUUCAGGUUAGAUCAGGGAUUCUUGAAGAGAAAAUGCAUCAUUGUCGGGUUACAUGGGGGAUUUCCAAAGAGAAAUAGCCUUUUUUUUCUGGUAAAUGGGGGAUUUUUGAAGAGAAAAUGCGUGAUUUUCAGAUUAAAUGGGGAUUCUUGAAGGGAAAAUGUGUGAUUUUCGGGGUAAAUGGGGGAUUCUCGAAGGAAAGGUGAUUUUGGGUUAAACUGCUAUUUUGUAGAGAAUAUGCAUGAUUUUGGGUUUAAAGAGGGAUUCUCAAAGAGAAAAAGCUUAUUUUGUUUAAUGGGGUAUUUUGAAGGAAAAUGUGUGAUUUUUGGUUAAAUGGGGAUUCUCGAAGAGAAAAUGCAUGAUUUUCGUUUACAUGUGAGAUUUUUGUAGAGGAAUGCGUGAUUUUUGGAUACAUGGGGAUUCUUGUAGCAAACAUGUUUGAUUUUGGGGUCAAAUGGGGGAUUUUUGGAGAGCAAAAGUGUGAUUUUCACGUUAAAUGGGGGAUUUUCCGAGAGAAAAUGUGUGAUUUGGGAUAAGGGGUAUUUUGAAGAGAUAAAGCAUGAUUUGGGGUAAAUGGGGGAUUUUCCAAGAGAAAAGGCGAGAUUUUGAGUUAAAUGGGGGAUUUUGCAAGAGAAAAUGGGUGAUUUGGGGUUAAAUGGGGGAUUGUUGAAGAGACAAUGCAUGUUUGGGGUUAAGGGGGGAUUUUUGAAGAGAAAACGCGUAAUUUUUGGUUUAAACAGCUAUUUUUGAAGAAUAUGCGUGAUUUUCAGUUUAAAUCAGGAUUCUCAAAGAGAAGAUGUGUGAUUUUUGUUUGAAUGGGUAUUUUUGAAGAGAAAAUGCAUGAUUUUCGGGUUAAAUGGGGGAUUUCGAGAGGAAAUGCUUCGUUCAGGUUGAAUUGGGGGUUUUCGAAGCCAAAAUGCGUGAUUUUCACUUAAAUGGGGAUUUUCAAACGAAAAUGCAUGAAUUUCUUUUAGAUGGGGAUUUUCAUAGAGAAAAGGCAUGAUUUUGUGUUAAGUGGGGGAUAUUUGCAAAAAAAAAAAAAAAAAAAAACAAGGCGUGAUUUUUGGGUUAAAUAGGGGAUUUUUGAAGAGAAAAUGUGUGAUUUUCAGUUAAAUCACGGAAUCUCUAGAGAAAAUGCCUGAUGUUUGCAUUAAUG
rnacentral:lncRNA from 7 species